AAGACUUUAAGUUAAAUUAAACUAUAUACCUUCAAAGUAUAAAAUAAUAAGCCUUAAGGAUCUUCUUUAAACUUGC
rnacentral:tRNA from 1 species